UCUUUAACCCUUUCAGAAGUUAAAAGGCUCCAAUAAAAAAGAUUUGCAACAGACAGCCGAUGAACUCGAAAAGCAAGAGGCCCAUAGAUGAAAUCGAUGUCUACCACACAAGCCAACUAAAAAGAGGAAGUGGUAAUAAAGUAAGAAC